AACGAACGCUGGCGGCGUGCCUAACACAUGCAAGUCGAACGGGAUUAGGGGGCUUGCUCCUUAAUCUAGUGGCGCACGGGUGAGUAACGCGUAGAUAAUCUGCCCGACGAUCUGGGAUAACACUUCGAAAGGGGUGCUAAUACCGGAUAAGCCCACGUGGUCUUUGGACCGUGCGGGAAAAGGGGGGGACCUUCGGGCCUUCUGUCGUCGGAUGAGUCUGCGUACCAUUAGCUAGUUGGUAGGGUAAAGGCCUACCAAGGCGACGAUGGUUAGCUGGUCUGAGAGGAGGAUCAGCCACACUGGAAAGGGGACACGGUCCAGACUCCUACGGGAGGCAGCAGUGGGGAAUUUUGCGCAAUGGGCGAAAGCCUGACGCAGCAGCGCCGCGUGAGUGAUGAAGGCUUUCGGGUCGUAAAGCUCUGUCAGGGGGAAAGAAGUGUAUUGUGGCUAAUAUCCACGAUACUUGACGGUACCCCCAAAGGAAGCACCGGCUAACUCCGUGCCAGCCGCCGCGGUAACAC
rnacentral:rRNA from 1 species